rnacentral:rRNA from 3 species
AACUGCGACCCCAGGUCAGGC